rnacentral:tRNA from 1 species
GCCUGGGUGGCUCAGUCGGUUGAGCGUUCGACUUGGGCUCAGGUCAUGAUCUCAAUGGUUUGUGGGUUCGAGCCCCGCAUCGGGUU